AGAGUUUGAUCAUGGCUCAGGAUAAACGCUGGCGGCGUGCCUAACACAUGCAAGUCGAACGCCCUGGUGCUCUUCGGAGCGCGAGGGAGUGGCGGACGGGUGAGUAACACAUGGGUGACCUACCCCCCAGUGAGGAAUACCGGCGAGAAAUCGCCGACAACACCGCAUAGGCUUGCUUGAGUAAAGACGAGCAAGCAAAGUCGCAAGACGCUGAGGGAUGGGCCUGUGGCCGAUUAGCUGGUUGGUGAGGUAAGAGCCCACCAAGGCGACGAUCGGUAGCUGGUCUGAGAGGACGAUCAGCCACACUGGGAUUGAGAACGGCCCAGACUCCUACGGGGGGCAGCAGUGAGGAAUUUUCGCAUGUCGCAGACUGACCGGAGCAACGCCGCGUGCAGAGACGCUUUCGAGUGUAACUGCUUUCUGUGGGACGAGAUGACGUACACAGGAAGAAGCCCGGCUAACUAUGUGCCAGCAGCCGCGGUAAUACAUAGGGGCGAGCGUUGUCCAGAGUUACUGGGCGUAAAGGGCACGCAGGCGGUGCGGCGCGUUUCGCGUGACAGCGGAGGGCUUACCUCUCCGAGGAUGCGAAAGACGGCGGCACUUGAGGGCCAGAGAGGGACACGGAAUUCCGGGUGGAGUGGUGAAAUGCGUAGAGAUCCGGAGGAACACCGAAGGCGAAGGCAGUGUCCUGGCUGGUGACUGACGCUGAGGUGCGAAAGCUAGGGGAGCGAACGGGAUUAGAUACCCCGGUAGUCCUAGCCGUAAACGAUGACCACCAGGUGUGGGAGGUAUCGACCCCUUCCGUGCCGGAGUUAACACACUAAGUGGUCCGCCUGGGGAGUACGGUCGCAAGAUUAAAACUCAAAGGAAUUGACGGGGACCCGCACAAGCAGCGGAGCGUGUGGUUUAAUUCGAUGCGACGCGCAGAACCUUACCAGGGCUUGACAUGCGCCUGCACCACCUGGAGACAGGUGUCCCUUCGGGGCGGGCGCACAGGUGCUGCAUGGCUGUCGUCGGCUCGUGCCGUGAGGUGUUGGGUUAAGUCCCGCAACGAGCGCAACCCCUGUGCUCGGUUAGGAUGUCCGAGCAGACUGCCACGCUAAACGUGGAGGAAGGUGGGGAUGACGUCAAGUCAGCACGGCCCUUACGUCCUGGGCGACACACACGCUACAAUGGCCGAGACAACGGGUGGCCAACCCGCGAGGGGGAGCUAAUCCCAGCAAACUCGGUCGUAGUUCGGAUGGUAGGCUGCAACCCGCCUGCCUGAAGCCGGAGUUGCUAGUAACCGUGGGUCAGCACACCACGGUGAAUACGUUCCCGGGUCUUGUACACACCGCCCGUCACACCACGAAAGUCGGCAACACCUGAAGCCGCUGGGCUAACUCGCGAGAGAGGCAGGCGUCGAGGGUGGGGUUGGUGAUUGGGGUGAAGUCGUAACAAGGUAACCGU
rnacentral:rRNA from 1 species